rnacentral:rRNA from 1 species
GACGAACGCUGGCGGCGUGCCUAAUACAUGCAAGUAGAACGCUGAAGAGAGGAGCUUGCUCUUCUUGGAUGAGUUGCGAACGGGUGAGUAACGCGUAGGUAACCUGCCUUGUAGCGGGGGAUAACUAUUGGAAACGAUAGCUAAUACCGCAUAACAAUGGAUGACACUUGUCAUUUAUUUGAAAGGGGCAAUUGCUCCACUACAAGAUGGACCUGCGUUGUAUUAGCUAGUAGGUGAGGUAAUGGCUCACCUAGGCGACGAUACAUAGCCGACCUGAGAGGGUGAUCGGCCACACUGGGACUGAGACACGGCCCAGACUCCUACGGGAGGCAGCAGUAGGGAAUCUUCGGCAAUGGGGGCAACCCUGACCGAGCAACGCCGCGUGAGUGAAGAAGGUUUUCGGAUCGUAAAGCUCUGUUGUAAGUCAAGAACGGGUGUGAGAGUGGAAAGUUCACACUGUGACGGUAGCUUACCAGAAAGGGACGGCUAACUACGUG